AUGGCGGAGGAACCAUCCGCCAAGCGUCAUCAUGCCGAGACGUCGGACAAGAGCAGCAACCUCAUAGACAUUCACGUCCCCGGCGAGAAACGCGAGUACACAACAACUCUCAAAGGGGUUGAGCUCCACGGCAACGAGACGCUGGAGAUUGUCUGCACCAGCGUACCAGAAAAGGCCGACGAGGUGAUCUCGAGGCUCUAG
rnacentral:rRNA from 1 species